GACCCAGCCGGCGACCGCCGCGCAGCCCGCCGAGAAAUCGGCGUGGCUGGCGAUCGGGCGGCGAUCGCCGGGCGCCCGCCGCGUGAAGAGCUAUUUUUGUGAAGAAACCGGCGAUCGCCGGGUGCCCGCCGUGCGACCGCCGCAAGUCCGCCUUUUUACGUUUUUGUUCGUUUUUAAAGUCCUUUUCGAGCUCAAACUCUGUAGUUUUACCCUGGUACUAUAAAUAGGUCUUCUUUUGACCUAUUUUGGGUUCCCAGCUUUUGUUUUUCAGUUCUUAACAUUCAUAUUUCAGUUUUAUAGCUUU
rnacentral:lncRNA from 1 species